rnacentral:SRP_RNA from 1 species
GCCAGGCACAGUGGCGCGUGCCUGUAGUGCCAGCUACUCGGGAAGCUGAGGCUGGAGGAUCGUUUGAGUCCAGGAGUUCUGAGCUGUAGUGCACUAUGCCGAUCGUGUGUCCGCACUAAGUGUGACAUCAAUAUAGUGACCUCCCGGGAGCGGGGGACCACCGGGUUGCCUAAUGAGGGGUGAACCAGCCCAGGCUGGAAACAGAGCAGGUCAAAACUCCCGUGCUGAUCAGUAGUGGGAUCAUGCCUGUGAAUAGCCACUGCACUCCAGCCUGGGCAACAUAGCGAGGCCCCAUCUGU